UCUCUCUCUCUCUCUCUCUCGCCAGUUGCCCCUUGCCCGGUUCACAUUAGAGCCAAAAAAUUCAAAGGCAACUCCUUUAUUGGAUUUUCAAAGCCUUGGAGUUUAAGCCAUUUCUCCUUCUGUCUGUCUCAGCUGCCUCCUUCUUCCUCUUCUUAUGUAUGGAAUUCCGGAAAUGAAGGGAUCAAAUGCUUUCUUUAUUUUCUCUAUCCAACUCCUAUUCAUUGGUCUUUGUCUCUUCGUCGCCGGUUGUUCUAGCCUGAAGCUAGGAGAGACCUGCUCGUCAGGUAACGCGUGCGACCCUGGAUUGCGAUGCGAAACUUGUCCUGCUAAUGGAAAUACCAGACCCAGAUGUAUCCGGAUCCAGCCUUUGAGCCCAACAUCAAAAGUAAAAGGUCUGCCAUUCAACAAAUAUUCAUGGCUAACAACCCACAACUCUUACGCUAUUACAAGCGCUACAUCGGCCGCGGGUUCGGCUCUUUUAUCUCCUACGAAUCAAGAGGACUCCGUUACCAGUCAACUCAAUAAUGGGGUCCGAGGGCUUAUGCUGGAUAUGUAUGACUUUCAGAAUGGCAUCUGGCUAUGUCACUCUUUUGGUGGCCAAUGUUACAACUACACAGCAUUUCAACCUGCCAUCAACGUGCUAAAAGAGAUUGAGGCCUUCUUGUCUGCAAACCCAUCAGAGAUUGUCACAAUUUUCAUCGAGGAUUAUGUGAUGGCCCCACUAGGCUUGACUAAGGUUUUUAAUGCAUCUAAUCUUAAUAAAUACUGGUUCCCUGUAUCAAAGAUGCCAAAGAAUGGUGAAGAUUGGCCAACAGUGGAUGAUAUGGUCCAGCAGAAUGAGCGCUUGGUGGUCUUUACUUCCAAAUCAGCUAAAGAGGCUUCUGAGGGCAUUGCUUAUACUUGGAAAUAUGUGGUAGAAAAUCAAUAUGGGGAUGAUGGGAUGAAAGCUGGUUCAUGUCCAAAUAGGGCUGAAUCAUCUCCCAUGAACACAGCAACAAUAUCACUGAUUCUUCAAAAUUAUUUUCCAACUAAUCCCAAUGCAACAGAAACUUGCCUGGACAAUUCAGCUCCAUUAAUUAGCAUAACCAACAGUUGCUAUGAAGCAGCUGGCAAACGGUGGCCAAACUUCAUUGCUGUUGACUUUUAUCAGAGGAGUGAUGGUGGGGGGGCCCCAGAAGCUGUGGACGAAGUGAAUGGUCAGCUUACUUGUGGAUGUGCCAAUAUUGCCUACUGCAAGGCAAACGCAAAACGUGGUACAUGUGACGUUCCUCCAAUCGCACCCCCUCCCCCUGCUGCUGCUACUGGAAACUCACAAACUACUUCUACUUCCACCAACAUUGCUUAUUUGCAUCCCAAACGAGGCCAAUUACGGUGGGUUUUGGGGACAAUUUUGACCACGUUGCUAUUAUUAUGACUGUGAUUAUGCCAAUGGGCCUAUUUACCACGUUGCUAUUAUUGUGACUGUGAUUAUGACAAUGGGCCUAUUUACCAUUUACUCGCAUCAGAAUAUUUUAUGCAGAGGAAUUGCGGCUUAUUUGUGUCCUCGCUUUGAGGGUUGUACUUGAGAGAAUGACUUGUGUUAGAUAUGUUUUGAUUUGUUGUCACCAUACACGCUAUAUAUGUAAAUUGGAAGUAUGAUUGGACAUAAAAGACUUAUCUGUUCAUUUUCCAGGAGAAAAAUGCGUUUUCUUUUUCCUUGUUCAUUUUAUCUGUUCAUGUUCCAGAAG
rnacentral:misc_RNA from 1 species